UUUCAGACCGUCCUAAUUAUAGGCUAUCAGGAAUAGAAUUAGAGAUGGCCUAACUAGGUCAACAGAAUCCAGCGAUAACACGCUGCCAUGCGGUGGGGUCCCUGGCAGGAGCGAAGCCUUUUACCCGCUGACACCAGGGAAACCUGCUGAGCCCAGGAGCUGCCACCACUGGCCCAACAAUGCUGAGUAACGCUGCCCGGAGACAGGAAGCGCCUGCUGCACCGCAGAUUUCAUAACCUUCUGACCAACUCACAGUGGCCUUUCAUUCCUCUCCCCGGCUCAGAAGGAGGAAGAUGGUUGUGCCCCUGGAUGGGGGACCCUGGAGGAUGUCCUAUAUCACAGAGGAUCCACUACGCUGCUGACCCUUAGAGGAGAAAUUGAAAAUGGGUGUGCAGCAGUCUCUGCGACCAAGGUUACCCGGGCGGGAGUUCGCUGUACCAAUAAAUGUCUGGAACUGAAUGACCACCACUGUGAGCACCUCUUGCAUUUGCAGAGGCCGAAGGUAACUUGUAUGGAUCUCAUGAUGUCUCAGUACAUUAGUAUUAAAAUAUUUAUGCACGUUU